rnacentral:pre_miRNA from 1 species
CGUGCACCAGUGGGGUCCCUCAGCCUGGCCUGUGGGGGUAGGGCCAAAAUCGGCUCUCUAACAUCUCCUGAGAGGUCCUGGAUUGUGAGAGGGCACAGGCCAGGCUGAGGGACCCCACUGGUGUACU